rnacentral:rRNA from 1 species
AACGAACGCUGGCGGCAUGCCUAACACAUGCAAGUCGAACGAGACCUUCGGGUCUAGUGGCGCACGGGUGCGUAACGCGUGGGAACCUGCCCUUAGGUUCGGAAUAACUCCCCGAAAGGGGUGCUAAUACCGGAUAAUGUCUUCGGACCAAAGAUUUAUCGCCUUUGGAUGGGCCCGCGUUGGAUUAGCUGGUUGGUAGGGUAAAAGCCUACCAAGGCGACGAUCCAUAGCUGGUCUGAGAGGAUGGUCAGCCACUCUGGGCGUGAGACACGGUCCAGACUCUUACGGGAGGCAGCAGAGGGUGAUAUUGCACUACCGGCGGAAGGCUGAACGAGCUAGGCCGGGAGAGUGAUGAAGUUCUUAGGGAAGUAAAGCUCGUUUACCCGGGAUGAUAAUGACAGUACCGGGAGAAUAAGCACCGGCUAACUUCGUG